rnacentral:lncRNA from 1 species
GGGGAGGACAUGGCUGUCAGCUGGGAAGAGUGAAAUGGGCAAAGACUGCGUCACGGCUGGAAGGGAUCGUGGCAAGGGCACAGGCAGCAGGAAAGCUGACCCUCAUCAGAGCUGACAACAUGUCCAGCCUGCACUACUGCAAGAACUUCUUUGUCUAUGGUAGUGUGGUCAACUGAAGAAGCCGGCUUAGUUGCUCCAGUCAGGUGCUCACACUAAGAAAGGAUGGGUGAAGGUUAUAAAGUGGCUGUGAAUGAGAACUCGGUCUGGGCUCUACCAAGCAGAGAAGCCAUGCAGAGAUGAGAAAGGUGAAAGCCAUGAAACCAUGUUAAGCAGAAAAAUAAAAAUUCAAAACAGAA